UCCAUCAACAUCUUUUAUCUUAUAACUUUUUAUCAAGGGUGUAGUUGAUGGAAAUCUCAUACUUUUCUGUUCCCUUUUCGUCAUCUGGAUCAUCUUUAUUUGGUUCAUCUUGAACCUUUUCAUCUAUGCCUUCUUUCAGACAUUUUUCAGUAUCAGGUUCUUCUGGAACCUUUCCACUUAUGCCUUCUUUCAGACAUAUUUCAAUAUCAGGUUCUUUUGGAACCUUUCCACUUAUGCCUUCUUUCAGACAUCUUAUAAUAUCAGG
rnacentral:lncRNA from 1 species